CUAAUCUGCACUUCUGGUUAUGAUUUUGGUUCCUUGCUUGUGAUUCUAGUUUGACCUUCAGCUGUGGUUUUUGGCUUCUGAUCCCAGAGAACCUGGUUUAACAGAUGAUAUUGAAAAUACCUUCUGCUCUGCCUGAGAAGCUAGAGUGUGGGCAAGCGAGGCCUACAACCCAGCAUGAAGAGAGACCUAGAGCAUCUAUUUGAAAACACACUCCAAUGAAGAGAAGAUGUAUUUAUUUUGCAGUAGAAGUAAGACUCUGAAGGACAAUUAGGAAAGUAGCAGAACAAAACCAGAAGGGAAUUGGUGAAUAUAAUAUUAACGAUUCUAAGUGGAAUGAUUUCAGGUUAUUUCUGGCUGAUUACAAGUUAUCUAUUCUUUCCCACGGUUUGGAAAA